rnacentral:tRNA from 1 species
GCCCUCGUAGCUCAGUGGAUAGAGCGAGUGCCUUCUAAGCACGAGGUCGUGGGUUCGAAUCCCGCCGAGGGCG